AAUCCUAGACUCAGCCAUACUGGGGGAGAUGACCCAACUUCAUUGCCAUGGUUGCAGAAUGGGAAGGACAAAUCUGCCCACUGCAGGAAAAAAAGUUCUAUUCCAGAUGAAGAGUAACUAGAAAAAAUAUGUAUCUCUGAACAUUAGAAUCACACUCAGCCUGAUGAGAUGCUCACACCGAGGAAUACCGGAAGUGAGACUGACUAAACGGACCUGAGGUAGAGGACAGGCAUAAAACUGCCUGCCCUUGUUUUCCCCAUCCUUCCCCACAACUCGGAGAAUGCAGAGGCGGUUGUGUUUACUGCAGCGAGGGCUGUCAGGAUUUAAAUUAAAGACAGAUCUUCAACAUCCCUGACGGCAGCAAAGAUGUCUAUGAUAGUAACACGGGGUGAAGCGGCUGAGUGGAAGAAGAUAUAGAGUGCUGUAGAGAAAAGUAUUGGAGAACAAGAAGAGUGAUGCAGAAAAUGAAACGCAGGGACACAAAGAAAAAGCACGCAGUUCUGGACAUAUUUAUGAAGACUUAAGCUGGGACUUCCUCUGCACACCAGCUCCCUCCCCUGCCCCCAGCUCUACAGACAUGACCGCACUUCCCACCUCCCGGGUUUCCCACAGCCGAGUGGUGCCCUGAGUCUCUUCCUAUGUCCAAUCCUAUGGUUUUGUUUCCUUUGCUUUUUCUUUCCUGCCCACUUUGUAGUUAUAGGUAUUUGCUGAAGCUCAGACCUUGGCUCAUUUCCUUUCUCAUUCUUACUGAACUGAGAAGUUGGAAUGCUUCAAUCAACAGCACUGUGCCGACAGCCUCUCUCAUCCUGGAUCGCAGCCCCUAAGACAUGUCUUCCUGGAUAUUCCAGGGUUCUUUCACAUAUCUAACACAUACUGCAUCUUCACUGCUGCAUCCCAAUUUUCCCAGACCCACAAUGUGAAAAUUUUUAUUAUUUGGUCCUGAAACCUUUUGCAUCAUCCUACCUAUCAAAUCUGCCACAGUCCUUGUUGACUUUUAAAAAGUUUUACUAGGGUACCACGUCCAGUGUCUUGACCCCAGGCUGGUAACCAUCGCUUGCCCAUUACUCUGCACCAGCUUCU
rnacentral:lncRNA from 1 species